rnacentral:tRNA from 2 species
GCAGGGGUAGCCAAGCCUGGCCAACGGCGCAAGGUUCAGGGCCUUGUGGUGUAGACCUUCAAGGGUUCGAAUCCCUUCCCCUGCA